rnacentral:rRNA from 1 species
UGGGGGAUAUUGCACAAUGGGCGAAAGCCUGAUGCAGCGACGCCGCGUGGGGGAUGAAGGCCUUCGGGUUGUAAACUUCUUUUGCUCGGAACAAGGCAUGCUAAUGGGUGUGUUGAGUGUAGGGGUUGAUUAGCGCCGGCUAACUACGUGCCAGCAGCCGCGGUAAUACGUAGGGCGCGAGCGUUGUCCGGAAUUAUUGGGCGUAAAGGGCUUGUAGGUGGCUGGUGGCGUGUGUCGUGAAAGCUCAUGGCUUAACUGUGGGUUUGCGGUGGGUACGGGCUGGCUUGAGUGCAGUAGGGGAGGCUGGAAUUCCUGGUGUAGCGGUGGAAUGCGCAGAUAUCAGGAGGAAUACCGGUGGCGAAGGCGGGUCUCUGGGCUGUUACUGACACUGAGGAGCGAAAGCAUGGGGAGCGAACAGG